UACGUAGGGUGCAAGCGUUAAUCGGAAUUACUGGGCGUAAAGCGUGCGCAGGCGGUUCGCUAAGACCGAUGUGAAAUCCCCGGGCUUAACCUGGGAACUGCAUUGGUGACUGGCGGGCUAGAGUAUGGCAGAGGGGGGUAGAAUUCCACGUGUAGCAGUGAAAUGCGUAGAGAUGUGGAGGAACACCGAUGGCGAAGGCAGCCCCCUGGGCUGAGAUUGACGCUCAGGCACGAAAGCGUGGGGAGCAAACAGG
rnacentral:rRNA from 1 species